GUGAGGGUGGCAGCAGCGAGGUGACGGUGAGGGGGCCCUGUGGCAGCGGGCGGGCAGGGGGCUGGGCCUUCACCUGGUUUGAUCCUCGCCCCAGUUCUGGGAGCCCUCGGGGAGGGCUGUGGAUCCUGAUGCGGAUCCUGACGCGGAUCCUGACAGUCAGGAGAGCUGAGUCCCCUGAGACAUGGGGCCAUUCCACACACCUCCCGCAGGCGGUCUUUGGAAUCCACUCUUCAAACACACCUGGGGCCGCUGCACUGUUCCCCCAGAUCUGAGAGGGGAGUUACACCUGCAUCCGUUUACACAGGGUAGCUGCCUGGACCCCGCCUGAGGCCUUGCCUGCAGCUUCACGGAUUCACAUUGCCACCAGUUCUCUUCCUGGGGAAAUUAUUUCAGAAUAAAUCUUAAAUGCCCUGUUGCCUUUACUGAGUUCUGGCAGGUUCGUUCCUGGGUAUGUUUGGUUUUUUUCUCUCUC
rnacentral:lncRNA from 1 species